rnacentral:rRNA from 1 species
UACGUAGGGAGCAAGCGUUGUCCGGAAUCAUUGGGCGUAAAGCGCGCGUAGGCGGCCCGGUAAGUCCGCUCUGAAAGUCCAGGGCUCAACCCUGGAAUGCGGGUGGAUACUGCCGGGCUAGAGUCCGGAAGAGGCGAGUGGAAUUCCUGGUGUAGCGGUGGAAUGCGCAGAUAUCAGGAGGAACACUAAUAGCGAAGGCAGCUCGCUGGGACGGUACUGACGCUAAGGCGCGAAAGCGUGGGGAGCGAACAGG